rnacentral:rRNA from 1 species
AGAGUUUGAUCUGGCUCAGGACGAACGCUGGCGGCGUGCCUAACACAUGCAAGUCGAGCGGAGGUCUUCUUCAACACUGAGUAUUCUAACAGAGCCAGCGCAUAUGCAAAAACAACCAUUUUGAUUGUUAUUAAAAAGAGUUUUUUGCAUUACGCGUAUCAGUACCAACACAAAUGAUGUUGGCAUGUAAAAGGGUGUAAAAGUUAGGGUAUUGAGUGUUGGAGGAGACCUUAGCGGCGGACGGGUGAGUAACGCGUGAGUAAUCUGCCUCAUACAGGGGGAUAACAGUUGGAAACAACUGCUAAUACCGCAUAAGACCACGCUAACGCAUGUUAGAGGGGUCAAAGGGAAUAACCGGUAUGAGAUGAGCUCGCGUCCCAUUAGCUGGUUGGUGAGGUAACGGCUCACCAAGGCGACGAUGGGUAGCCGACCUGAGAGGGUGAACGGCCACACUGGGACUGAGACACGGCCCAGACUCCUACGGGAGGCAGCAGUGGGGAAUAUUGCGCAAUGGGGGGAACCCUGACGCAGCAACGCCGCGUGAGUGAAGAAGGCCUUCGGGUCGUAAAACUCUGUCAUAGGGGAAGAAUAGAUGACGGUACCCUAUGAGGAAGCCCCGGCUAACUACGUGCCAGCAGCCGCGGUAAUACGUAGGGGGCGAGCGUUGUCCGGAAUCACUGGGCGUAAAGGGUGCGUAGGCGGCAUAAUAAGUCAGAUGUGAAAUCCCAGGGCUUAACCCUGGAGUUGCAUUUGAAACUGUGAUGCUUGAGUGCAGGAGAGGGAAGCGGAAUUCCUAGUGUAGCGGUGAAAUGCGUAGAGAUUANGANGAACACCAGUGGCGAANGCGGCUUUCUGGACUGUAACUGACGCUGANGCACGAAAGCGUGGGGAGCGAACAGGAUUANAUACCCUNNANUCCACGCCGUAAACGAUGGAUACUANGUGUAGNNGGUUUCAAUACUGUCUGUGCCNUANUUANCGCAAUAAGUAUCCCGCCUGGGGNNUACG